rnacentral:rRNA from 1 species
UACGGGGGGGGGCAAGCGUUGUUCGGAAUUACUGGGCGUAAAGCGCGUGUAGGCUGCUUCGCAAGUCGGAUGUGAAAGCCCUGGGCUCAACCCAGGAAGUGCAUUCGAAACUGCAGAGCUGGAGUCCUGGAGAGGAAGGCGGAAUUCUCGGUGUAGAGGUGAAAUUCGUAGAUAUCGAGAGGAACACCGGUGGCGAAGGCGGCCUUCUGGACAGUGACUGACGCUGAGACGCGAAAGCGUGGGGAGCAAACAGG